AAAAAUUCCUCCGAUCGGUCCUGUACGUGCAAAAAAUAUCCAACCCCCACCUCAAGUUUUUGGUUAUUUGUGUAGCCUCGCAGCCUCGUAUGCUUCAAGGUUGAAGGAAUAACUGUAAACAUGUAAAUGUAUAACUGCACACAACGUAGAGCGAGUAAGCAUUUUUUUUGCCUUUCGAUUUUUUGUAUUUCUCUUUUUAUCAUUUUUAAAUAUAUACCUCUACUCCCCACGCCCGAGGAACCAUCAUCGUUCCGCUAGAUUUACAGCUAUUCGCCUUAAAGUUGCGCGGUGAUUAAAACAGUCCCUUGGAUAGACGAUAUUUUAUUGGCCUUCUCCGCGAUACGGUGAACCAGGGAACAAAGUGAGGACGUCGUCCGAUAUUUUAUUGGGUAGUGUCACUUGUUCCGGAAGUGGUGCAAGACUGUAUAAUACACGUGGACUACAUACCUCGCCACAUAACGCGACGCAUGUACAUACGUACAUCGCAUGUUUGUAAAAUCGUGCAAAAUUGAAGGUUGCCCGUAUUUCGCACCCGCAUACAAUCGCCAUUGUAUCUACACGGUGUACAAAGUUUCCUCGAUGAUAUUCUAAACCGAUUACCUCGUCUGCACGCCCGGAAAGAAUCCCUAUAAAUGUAUGGGUAAACAAAAGUUUCGGGUCAAUUUUCAGUAGACUCCAAAAGUAUUCAAAUCGUCGAUCAAAUUUCCAAAAUGGCCGAUCUCAAAGUUUGCAGACAAGAAUCGGUUUUCUCAGCUCUUUGCAAAAAUCAAGUUCAACGAUUAGUUCCUGAUGAUAUCUGUGCCGAUAAGCUGAAUAAAUGAGCUAAAAAUUAUGCGUUAUCAAACUUGAGCUCCGUCUAGGUCGACGUCAUCGAUACCGCAGAGAUAAAUUUGCUGCUGUGUCCACGUCUAUGAAAUGAUAAGUAAAACGCUGACUGAAUACAUCCAACUUGUACAUUGAACGGAUUAUAGAUACGCUAGAUUAAACGAGAUUUAAAAAUCAAGAGAAUGGUGAACCCGUC